rnacentral:tRNA from 1 species
GCUCCCGUGGUGUAGUCCGGUCAAUCAUCUCGGAUUUUCGAUCCGAGGACGUGGGUUCAAAUCCCGCCGGGAGCG